rnacentral:rRNA from 1 species
CCUACGGGCGGCAGCAGUCGAGAAUCAUUCACAAUGGGGGAAACCCUGAUGGUGCGACGCCGCGUGGGGGAAUGAAGGUCUUCGGAUUGUAAACCCCUGUCAUGUGGGAGCAAAUUAAAAAGAUAGUACCACAAGAGGAAGAGACGGCUAACACUGUGCCAGCAGCCGCGGUAAUACAGAGGUCUCAAGCGUUGUUCGGAAUCACUGGGCGUAAAGCGUGCGUAGGCUGUUUCGUAAGUCGUGUGUGAAAGGCGCGGGCUCAACCCGCGGACGGCACAUGAUACUGCGAGACUAGAGUAAGGGAGGGGGAAGCGGAAUUCUCGGUGUAGCAGUGAAAUGCGUAGAUAUCGAGAGGAACACUGGUGGCGAAGGCAGGUUCCUGGACAUUAACUGACGCUGAGGCACGAAGGCCAGGGGAGCGAAAGGGAUUAGAUACCCCAGUAGUC